UUGAAACAAAUUUUAUAAAAAUAAAUAAAAUAUAAAUGUUUGUAUUUAAAUAUAAAAAUAUAUAUAAAUUUUCAGUACUUCAUUUGGGGACUCAAUAAUCAUUCUCCAAACUGAAAUCCAACGCAGAAUCACUCUUGCUUCCUUGGACUGAUUAGUUUUCGUCGCAUCUAUGUACAUCCCCCUGUAUCUAAUAUAUUGCGCUCUUCGUUCACUUCAUUCAUUAAACCACAACGGCAGAGCACAUGUGGCCGGUCCACGGACUAACAGUAUAGCAUCUAGACAAUACCAAUAACAUUUCUUUGAAAACAAUUUUUGUCGCAACGCACGCACCGGCAGCAGGCCUCCACUACCAUAAAGUUCCAGUGUUCAUCGCUGCUGCAGCUGCUUUGAAAUUGAAAGUUACACUCGAAGCAAAGCAAUAAAUUGAAAGUGUUCGAUGUAAGUACGGACUCGCACAUAAAUUAAAUGACAAUCGAUGACAACAAACAUAUAAAUGAAUAGUAUUUCAACGAGCUGUAAUGUUACAUUUUUAUUUUAUUUAUACUAUUCUUUCUGGAAAAGAAGAUUAUUAAAAAAUUCCUAUUCCUACU